rnacentral:rRNA from 1 species
CAGGCCUAACACAUGCAAGUCGAACGUGAAGCUGGAGCUUGCUCCAGUGGAAAGUGGCAGACGGGUGAGUAACGCGUGGGAAUCUACCCAAUGGUACGGAAUAACUCAGGGAAACUUGUGCUAAUACCGUAUGAGCCCUUCGGGGAAAGAUUUAUCGCCAUUGGAUGAGCCCGCGUUAGAUUAGUUUGUUGGUGGGUAAUGGCCUACCAAGACUACGAUCUAUAGCUGGUCUGAGAGGAUGAUCAGCCACACUGGGACUGAGACACGGCCCAGACUCCUACGGGAGGCAGCAGUGGGGAAUAUUGCACAAUGGGCGCAAGCCUGAUGCAACCAUGCCGCGUGAGUGAAGAAGGCCUUAGGGUUGUAAAACUCUUUCACCGGUGAAGAUAAUGACGGUAGCCGGAGAAGAAGCCCCGGCUAACUCCGUG